rnacentral:rRNA from 1 species
CNCGNNAAACCUUACCUACCCUUGACAUGCCAGGAACCUCGCAGAGAUGUGAGGGUGCUCGAAAGAGAAUCUGGACACAGGUGCUGCAUGGCUGUCGUCAGCUCGUGUCGUGAGAUGUUGGGUUAAGUCCCGCAACGAGCGCAACCCUUGCCAUUAGUUGCCACAUUAAGUUGGGCACUCUAAUGGGACUGCCGGUGACAAACCGGAGGAAGGUGGGGAUGACGUCAAGUCCUCAUGGCCCUUAUGGGUAGGGCUACACACGUCAUACAAUGGCGCAUACAGAGGGUUGCCAACCCGCGAGGGGGAGCUAAUCCCAGAAAGUGCGUCGUAGUCCGGAUUGCAGUCUGCAACUCGACUGCAUGAAGUCGGAAUCGCUAGUAAUCGCGGAUCAGCAUGUCGCGGUGAAUACGUUCCCGGGCCUUGUACACACCGCCCGUCACACCAUGGGAGUGGGUUUCACCAGAAGCAGAUAGCCUAACCGCAAGGAGGGC